rnacentral:rRNA from 1 species
UAGCAUAUCAAUAAGCGGAGGAAAAGAAACCAACAGGGAUUGCCUCAGUAACGGCGAGUGAAGCGGCAACAGCUCAAAUUUGAAAUCUGGCGCCCCUGGGCGUCCGAGUUGUAAUUUGCAGAGGAUGCUUCGGUACCGGCGCUGCUCCAGGUUCUUUGGAACAGGACGCCACAGAGGGUGAGAGCCCCGUCUCUGGGCGGCAGUCGGUACCAUGUGAAGCGCCUUCGACGAGUCGAGUUGUUUGGGAAUGCAGCUCAAAAUGGGAGGUAAAUUUCUUCCAAGGCUAAAUACAGGCCGGAGACCGAUAGCGCACAAGUAGAGUGAUCGAAAGAUGAAAAGUACUUUGGAAAGAGAGUCAAACAGCGCGUGAAAUUGUUGAAAGGGAAGCGCUUGCAGUCAGACUUGGCCGCCCGGUUCGGCGGGGUCUCGCACCCCGUCUACGCCGUGGCGAUCAGGCCAGCAUCGGUUCGGACGACCGGAUAAAGGCCGCGGGAACGUAGCUCCCCUCGGGGAGUGUUAUAGCCCACGGCACAAUACGGCCCGUCCGGACCGAGGAACGCGCUUCGGCUCGGAUGCUGGCGUAAUGGCUGCAAGCGGCCCGUCUUGAAACACGGACCAAGGAGUCUAACAUCUGUGCGAGUGUUUGGGUGUCAAGCCCUUGCGCGUAAUGAAAGUGAACGGAGGUGGGAGCCCUCGGGCGCACCAUCGACCGAUCCUGAUGUCUUCGGAAGGAUUUGAGUAAGAGCACAGCUGUUGGGACCCGAAAGAUGGUGAACUAUGCCUAAGCAGGGUGAAGCCAGAGGAAACUCUGGUGGAGGCUCGCAGCGGUUCUGACGUGCAAAUCGAUCGUCAAAUUUGGGUAUAGGGGCGAAAGACUAAUCGAACCAUCUAGUAGCUGGUUCCUGCGAGCCUU